GUAGUCUCGCACAGAUGCAUAUCAAUAAGCGGAGGAAAAGAAACUAACAAGGAUUCCCCUAGUAACGGCGAGUGAAGCGGGAAGAGCUCAAAUUUGAAAUCUUAAAGGGUUUCCCUUUACGAAUUGUAGUUUAAAGAAGUGUUUUCUGUUGAGGUUUUGGUAAAAGUUCUUUGGAAUAGGACAUCAUAGAGGGUGAGAAUCCCGUAUUUGGUUAUUCAUUCUAGCUUUGUGAUACACUUUCAAAGAGUCGGAUUGUUUGGGAAUGCAGUCCAAAAUGGGUGGUAAAUUUCAUCUAAAGCUAAAUAUUGGCGAGAGACCGAUAGCGAACAAGUACCGUGAGGGAAAGAUGAAAAGAACUUUGAAAAGAGAGUUAAACAGUACGUGAAAUUGUCAAAAGGGAAGCGUUUGACACCAGUGUUGUUUUUCUGAAAAUCAAUUAAAGAACUGUUUAUGCUAAGUUGUUUAGACUUUAUCAGCUAUCUGCUUAGUUUUGAGCUUUUCUUUAAUGCACUUUUCAGUUAACAAGUCAACAUCAAUUUCUUUUGCUGUAAAAAAGCUUGAGGAAGGUGGCUUGAGAUUCGUCUUAAGUGUUUAUAGCCUCUUGCCUAUGCAGUCGGAGAGAUUGAGGUCUGCAGCGUAGAUCCUUCGGGGCUAAAUGCAUUUGUGCUAAGUUAUAGCAUUUUAUAGACAACUUGUUGACUAUGAUUUGUCUUGUAGCUUACUCGCUUACGUUAUUUUACCUACGCUUAGGAUGUUGAACUCUAUCACACACAG
rnacentral:rRNA from 1 species